CAAUAGCGUAUAUUAAAAGUUGUUGCAGUUAAAAAAGCUCGUAGUUGAACCUUGGGUCUGGCUGGCCGGUCCGCCUCACCGCGAGUACUGGUCCCGGCUGAACCCUUUUCCUUCUGGGGAACCCUCAGGCCUUCACUGGCUGGGGGGAACCAGGACUUUUACUGUGAAAAAAUUAGAGUGUUCAAAGCAGGCCUUUGCUCGAAUACAUUAGCAUGGAAUAAUAGAAUAGGACGUGUGGUUCUAUUUUGUUGGUUUCUAGGACCGCCGUAAUGAUUAAUAGGGAUAGUCGGGGGCGUCAGUAUUCAGCUGUCAGAGGUGAAAUUCUUGGAUUUGCUGAAGACUAACUACUGCGAAAGCAUUCGCCAAGGAUGUUUUCAUUAAUCAGGAACGAAAGUUAGGGGAUCGAAGAUGAUUAGAU
rnacentral:rRNA from 1 species